AAACAUUGUUGUGCUACAUGUCUGAAUUCUCCCAUCAAAGACACAAUGAAUCAAGGCACUGUUAAAUCCUGGCUUCCUGGUGACAGUGCCCUUGGCUCCACCCUGCAAACCAGAAGUGAGCCUCAUGAUGUCCACAGUCUGCAGCAGGCACUGUGUCUGUCCUGAGGAGGACAAACCCUAGGUGAGAUCUGCGUGCCUAAAAGGCCUGCAUUCAAUAUGUGCUGCCAGCUACUGCAGAGGAAGUCG
rnacentral:lncRNA from 1 species